CUGUUGGAAAUUGGUAAUCUUUCCCCUUAAGGCAUUUGUCUUGCCUAUUGUAACACCCUAAAAUGUGUUUUCUGGGAAAUAGAGCUAAAAUGAUUUAAGUAUGAAUUUUUGUGCUCAUGAGAAUACAGGAAAAUAAUAUCUUUCAUUAAAAUAAAAUUUAUCAUAGAGCUUAGCAACUUGUUUCUGCAUUCAUGCAGGAGAAUUAAUUUUAUUGUGCUGAGUGAUUUGACUAAAGUUCAAAAAUAUUUCAAAGUAAUUUUAAAAUGAAUUGGAAAAUGGCUUUAGAAUAAAAGAAAGGAAAAUAGAAAAAAAACAAAACCUUUUCGCCCUCAUUCUGGCCCGAAGGCCCAAACCCUCCUCUCCCCCUUCCUUUCCCCCACGGCCCGCUCCCCUCUUCGGCCCAGUACGCGCAACCGGCCCAGCCCUUGGCCUGCCCCGCGCCCUCUCCUUCACUCUUUCACUGAACAGUGGACCCCACUCGUCAGCUAACUUCAUCUCCCUCCUCUCGCCGUGUCCAGGGAGGACUCUCAAAGGAGAAUAUAUCUCCCAAUCCCAAUUUUCCCGGGGGUAAUCGCCUUAUGCGCACAAUUCAACCCCUAUAAAACCCUUGUUGAACGCGUGCGACCCCCUUCUCCUCCUGUUUCACGCC
rnacentral:lncRNA from 1 species